UACGUAGGGCGCAAGCGUUAUCCGGAAUUAUUGGGCGUAAAGAGCUCGUAGGCGGUUUGUCGCGUCUGUCGUGAAAGUCCGGGGCUUAACCCCGGAUCUGCGGUGGGUACGGGCAGACUAGAGUGCAGUAGGGGAGACUGGAAUUCCUGGUGUAGCGGUGAAAUGCGCAGAUAUCAGGAGGAACACCGAUGGCGAAGGCAGGUCUCUGGGCUGUAACUGACGCUGAGGAGCGAAAGCAUGGGGAGCGAACAGG
rnacentral:rRNA from 1 species